GCUCGAUGUGUCAAUAUCAAAAAUUAUAGGUUCUAUGGGCUAAAGAGCUAUGACUGCUAUAUCUUCAUACAAUGAUUACUCCCAUUGGCUUGACGUGAUCUCCUUUGCAACUCCAUAUGGAGUUUUUUUACUAAGCUUAGUCUUUUCUUCAGAGAUAUUUAUGCUACCAAACUAUCCACCGACUAUAUCUCCAGUCUUGAGGCUAGCAAUGUAGAG
rnacentral:lncRNA from 1 species